GGGUCCAUAGCUCAGUGGUAGAGCAAUUGACUGCAGAUCAAUAGGUCACCGGUUCGAACGCGGUUGGGCCCU
rnacentral:tRNA from 1 species